rnacentral:rRNA from 1 species
AUUGAACGCUGGCGGCAGGCCUAACACAUGCAAGUCGAGCGGAUGAAGGGAGCUUGCUCCUGGAUUCAGCGGCGGACGGGUGAGUAAUGCCUAGGAAUCUGCCUGGUAGUGGGGGAUAACGUCCGGAAACGGGCGCUAAUACCGCAUACGUCCUGAGGGAGAAAGUGGGGGAUCUUCGGACCUCACGCUAUCAGAUGAGCCUAGGUCGGAUUAGCUAGUUGGUGGGGUAAAGGCCUACCAAGGCGACGAUCCGUAACUGGUCUGAGAGGAUGAUCAGUCACACUGGAACUGAGACACGGUCCAGACUACUACGGGAGGCAGCAGGGGGGAAUAUGGGACAAUGGGCGAAAGCCUGAUCCAGGCAUGCGGCGUGUGUGAAGAAGGCCCUCGGAUUGUAAAGCGCUGUAAGUUGGGAGGAAGGGCAGUAAGUUAAAACCUGGCUGUUUUGACGUUACCCACAGAAUAAGCACCGGCUAACUUAGUG